CCCUUAGAUGUCCUGGGCCGCACGCGUGCUACACUGACACUUACACCGAGUUUUUCCGGCCCCGAGAGGUGGCUGGUAAUCAGUAAUAGGUGUCGUGAUGGGGAUAGAUCUUUGGAAUUAUUGAUCUUGAACGAGGAAUGCCUAGUAAUCGUAGGUCAUCAGCCUGCGAUGAUUACGUCCCUGCCCUUUGUACACACCGCCCGUCGCUCCUACCGAUUUCGAGUGGUCCGGCGAACCUUUCGGACAGAGAGAGUCUCGUACAAUCUCUGAAAGUCAAGUAAACCACAUCACUUAGAGGAAGGAGAAGUCGUAACA
rnacentral:rRNA from 1 species